AGAGUUUGAUCCUGGCUCAGAUUGAACGCUGGCGGAAUGCUUUACACAUGCAAGUCGAGCGGCAGCGCGGGGGCAACCCUGGCGGCGAGCGGCGAACGGGUGAGUAAUGUAUCGGAACGUACCCUGUCGUGGGGGAUAACACAGCGAAAGCUGUGCUAAUACCGCAUACGACCUGAGGGUGAAAGCGGGGGAUCGCAAGACCUCGCGCGAUAGGAGCGGCCGAUAUCGGAUUAGCUAGUUGGUGAGGUAAAGGCUCACCAAGGCGACGAUCCGUAGCUGGUCUGAGAGGACGACCAGCCACACUGGAACUGAGACACGGUCCAGACUCCUACGGGAGGCAGCAGUGGGGAAUUUUGGACAAUGGGGGCAACCCUGAUCCAGCCAUUCCGCGUGAGUGAAGAAGGCCUUCGGGUUGUAAAGCUCUUUCAGCAGGAACGAAACGGUGGUCCCUAAUACGGGCUACUAAUGACGGUACCUGAAGAAGAAGCACCGGCUAACUACGUGCCAGCAGCCGCGGUAAUACGUAGGGUGCGAGCGUUAAUCGGAAUUACUGGGCGUAAAGCGUGCGC
rnacentral:rRNA from 1 species